UGAGCAAUCUGCCCUUCUCAUCGGAAUAAGCGUUGGAAACGACGUCUAAUGCCGAAUACGACCUCCUUUCGCAUGAUCGGAGGUGGAAAGCUCCGGCGGUGAAGGAUGAGCUCGCGGCCUAUCAGCUUGUUGGUGAGGUAAUAGCUCACCAAGGCGAUGGACGGGUAGCCGGCCUGGAGGAGGGUCGACCCGGCCACACGUGGGACUGACGACACCGGCCCAGACCUCGUACGGGA
rnacentral:rRNA from 1 species